rnacentral:rRNA from 1 species
GGGCUUGACAUCCCACGAACCUGCUGGAGACAGCGGAGUGCCUUCGGGAGCGGAGAGACAGGUGGUGCAUGGUUGUCGUCAGCUCGUGUCGUGAGAUGUUGGGUUAAGUCCCGCAACGAGCGCAACCCUCACCCCUUGUUGCCACCAGGUUAUGCUGGGCACUCUAGGGGAACUGCCCCGGUCAACGGGGAGGAAGGCGGGGACGACGUCAAGUCAUCAUGCCCCUUACGUCCUGGGCUACACACGUGCUACAAUGGCCGGUACAGAGGGAUGCUAGACCGCGAGGUGGAGCUAAACCCAAAAAGCCGGUCUAAGUUCAGAUUGGAGUCUGCAACUCGCCUGCGUGAAGGUGGAAUCGCUAGUAAUCGCAGAUCAGCACGCUGCGGUGAAUACGUUCCCGGGCCUUGUACACACCGCCCGUCACACCACGAAAGCCAGCUGUACUCGAAGUCGCUGAG